GACGAACGCUGGCGGCGUGCUUAACACAUGCAAGUCGAACGAAGUGGCGAACGGGUGAGUAACGCGUAAUCAACCUGCCCUUCAGAGGGGGAUAACAGUUGGAAACGACUGCUAAUACCGCAUACUGAAGGAGGGGAUUGCGUGUGAUUGGCUAGUUGGAGGGGUAACGGCCCACCAAGGCGAUGAUCAGUAGCCGGGCUGGGAGGAUGGACGGCCACAUUGGGACUGAGACACGGCCCAGACUCCUACGGGAGGCAGCAGUGGGGAAUCUGCCGGAAUGGACGAAAGUCUGACGGGGCAACGCCGCGGGAGUGAUGACGGCCUUCGGGGUGUAAAGCUCUGUUAAUCGGGACGCGGUACCGGAAUAGAAAGCCACGGCUAACUACGUGCCAGCCGCCGCGGUAAUAC
rnacentral:rRNA from 1 species